UUUUGAAGGGGAAGUCGUAACAAGGUUUCCGUAGGUGACCUUGCGGAAGGAUCAUUMCCACCCCUAAAAANCACCCUUCCACGUGAACCGUUUUGUUUUGCUUUCGAGUGCUUUGUUGCGCUCGGAGCAUGUUUUGGGCUUCGCUGCUGGCGCUUGAUUGUGCUGGCGGCUCGAGGCCAUCAAGUGGCGUUUUGAGUGUGCUUUGCGCAAUUGAAACGUCGAAACCUUUUUUUAAACCCAUUUGAUUGAAAACUGAAGUAUACUGUGGGGACGAAAGUCCUCGCUUUGAAACUAGAUAACAACUUUCAGCAGUGGAUGUCUAGGCUCGCACAUCGAUGAAGAACGCUGCGAACUGCGAUACGUAAUGCGAAUUGCAGGAUUCAGUGAGUCAUCGAACUUUUGAACGCAUAUUGCACUUUCGGGUUACGCCUGGAAGUAUGUCUGUAUCAGUGUCCGUACACUAAACUUGCGUCUCUUCCGUCGUGUAGUCGUCGGUUGUUUUGAUUGCAGAUGUGAGGUUGUCUCGCAGUCGACCACUUCUUUUGGAUGGAUAGGUUGCGAGUCCCUUUAAAAGUCGGACGCGUGUUUUUUCCGUUUUGUGCUUGAUGGGGGUGCGGCUGCGGCCGUGUCUGCUGGCGGGUCCGGUGACCUUUGGCGAUGGCAUGAGAGUGGAUUGCUCGAUUUGCGGUAUGUUAGGCUUCGGCUUUGACAAUGCAGCUUAUUGGGUGUGUUCGCUUGGCUGUUGCUGUAUGGGGUGAGCUGGAUGGUCGGUGGAUGCGUUUGUUGCGUGUCGUUUUUUCAUGGAGUGCGUUGCGGUUGUCGUCGCCAUUUGGGAAUUUAAUGUUUUGAGUCUCGAUUCAAUACAUCUCAUUUGGACCUGAUAUCAGACAAGAUCCAAAUCCCCC
rnacentral:rRNA from 1 species